UACGUAGGGGGCUAGCGUUGUCCGGAAUCAUUGGGCGUAAAGCGCGUGUAGGCGGUCCGGUAAGUCCGCUGUGAAAGUCGGGGGCUCAACCCUCGGAUGCCGGUGGAUACUGUCGGGCUUGAGUACGGAAGAGGCGAGUGGAAUUCCUGGUGUAGCGGUGAAAUGCGCAGAUAUCAGGAGGAACACCAACGGCGAAGGCAGCUCGCUGGGACGGUACUGACGCGUAAGGCGCGAAAGCGUGGGGAGCAAACAGG
rnacentral:rRNA from 1 species